GUGAUUGGCAGCUUAUCAGGAGUGCAAGCAUUUGGAGAUGGCAAAAUAAAGGAGCCAAAUCCAUAAUUUGGUUGUUCAGUGGGGAAUUUGGAGCAGCCAAUGGGAAGGCAUGACAUGGACAUCAGCAAAGGGGCUGCAUUGCACCAAGGUCAGCUUUGGCUUCAUGAACCACAUGUGACUGGAUAAUUCAGACAAAGCAGCGACUCAGAGUGAGAGACAAGCUCCUGACCCUCGUGUCCUAGUGAAAUUGUCCCAGUGGAGCCCAUGGUGUGGAGUUCAGAAGCAAAGAGAGAAACAACCCAGCAAUAACAACCAAAUCCAUCCACCAGGAGUGCCUGCUGUAAAUUAGGAGAGCUCAGCUGACUCCGCAGGAGUCACAUGGAAUAGCAGAGAGCAGAGCUGAGCCCGAGUAAUCUGUGAUCUGGCAGCCAAUUUGUUUCCAAACAGCAAGUACCAGACAGAAGAUCUUUUCCCCCAAGGAGGCAAAACAGUCAGACAUCUUUUCAAGAAGUGUGAACUGCCAAGGGUUGAAAUGGUGACAAAUUUGAUCCCAGAACCCUGAGAAAAUUAAUAAAGGUUAAUGAAGCUUCAGUGUGGUGGCAGGAGUCUUUAUUGCCAUCCAAAAAGGGAAAGCAGAGGAGGCAGAGGAAUGAUUCAGAGAGUCCCUGCCAGGAGCCAGGCUUUCUAUUCAGCAGUUUGGAUCAUGGGAGAGUUUGUGAAAUUGUAUUUACCAUCACGGUUGCCUGAAAGCAGAACUUGAGGAGUCUAGGAAUUGUCACAUGGACUCCUCCAAACAUUCCCAGCACCAGCUGGCUGCUGGCUGGAGGGGAUGGAAUGGGGCAGUCACCCACCUGCCAUC